rnacentral:tRNA from 1 species
GGGGUCGUCGUCCAAUGGGAGGACACCGGUAUGGCUAUCCGGAAAUGAGGGUUCGACUCCCUCCGAUUCCA